UCCAGAGGGGAACACCGAGCCCUGCUCUCCACCCGGAAGGUCCAGUUGCCCACGCCAGCACGCCAGGCUGUCAGAGCUCCCCUGAAUGUGACACACCGCAGGCUUGGGCUCCUAGCGGGGUGCCUUCUCCGAAAGGAAUGAAUGGAUCUAGGGGUUAGUGGAGCAUUUAACAGAAAGGACAGCUAUAAACCACUGAAGAAGCAUCAUGGAAAAGAUGUAUUAUUUCUAGUCAAGAAAUGUGGCUUCAAAUGCUGGCUCCAAAGUCUCCUAAUUACACAUCCUCUGCUGCCAUUUCGCCUCCUUGGCCUCCUCAUCUGAAAGAAAGAACAUGGCACUGGGGCAUCAAACAACUAAGCAUCUAAGAAACUUCUGCACACGUGUUAAAGUGCUGCCUGUGGGCAGGAAGAGGGAAAUCAUUUCUCCCUGUGGCUACUCCCAGCCUCUCUGAUCCCCUGUCAGCUCUGCCCUGACCUGCCCACCUCAGACAUGCCUCUGGCUGGGCAUGGGGAGCCUUCUGACCUCCCACCUGG